rnacentral:piRNA from 1 species
UCCUUCAGGGUGGCCAGGAGGUGCUGAC